rnacentral:rRNA from 1 species
CAAUGGGGGAAACCCUGNAUGCAGCGACGCCGCGUGGAGGAAGAAGGUCUUCCGAUUGUAAACUCCUGUUGUUGGGGAAGAUAAUGACGGUACCCAACAAGGNAAGUGACGGCUAACUACGUGCCAGCAGCCGCGGUAAAACGUAGGUCACAAGCGUUGUCCGGAAUUACUGGGUGUAAAGGGAGCGCAGGCGGGAAGACAAGUUGGAAGUGAAAUCUAUGGGCUCAACCCAUAAACUGCUUUCAAAACUGUUUUUCUUGAGUAGUGCAGAGGUAGGCGGAAUUCCCGGUGUAGCGGUGGAAUGCGUAGAUAUCGGGAGGAACACCAGUGGCGAAGGCGGCCUACUGGGCACCAACUGACGCUGAGGCUCGAAAGUGUGGGUAGCAAACAGGAUUAGAUACCCUGGUAGUCCAAGGGCGAAUUC